rnacentral:tRNA from 1 species
GCAGGAGUGGUGGAAUUGGUAGACUCGCUAGUUUCAGGUACUAGUGUCCUUCGGGACGUGCGGGUUCGAGUCCCGCCUCCUGCACCA